GACGAACGCUGGCGGCGUGCUUAACACAUGCAAGUCGAACGGAAAGGCCCUUCGGGGUACUCGAGUGGCGAACGGGUGAGUAACACGUGGGUGAUCUGCCCUGCACUUUGGGAUAAGCCUGGGAAACUGGGUCUAAUACCGAAUAGGACCACGCGCUUCAUGGUGUGUGGUGGAAAGCUUUUGCGGUGUGGGAUGGGCCCGCGGCCUAUCAGCUUGUUGGUGGGGUAAUGGCCUACCAAGGCGACGACGGGUAGCCGGCCUGAGAGGGUGACCGGCCACACUGGGACUGAGAUACGGCCCAGACUCCUACGGGAGGCAGCAGUGGGGAAUAUUGCACAAUGGGCGCAAGCCUGAUGCACCGACGCCGCGUGAGGGAUGACGGCCUUCGGGUUGUAAACCUCUUUCAAUAGGGACGAGGCGCAAGUGACGGUACCUAUAGAAGAAGCACCGGCCAACUACGUGCCACCAGCCGCGGUAAUACGUACGGUGCGAGCGUUGUCCGGAAUUACUGGGCGUAAAGAGCUCGUAGGUGGUUUGUCGCGUUGUUCGUGAAAACUCACAGCUUAACUGUGGGCGUGCGGGCGAUACGGGCAGACUAGAGUACUGCAGGGGAGACUGGAAUUCCUGGUGUAGCGGUGGAAUGCGCAGAUAUCAGGAGGAACACCGGUGGCGAAGGCGGGUCUCUGGGCAGUAACUGACGCUGAGGAGCGAAAGCGUGGGGAGCGAACAGGAUUAGAUACCCUGGUAGUCCACGCCGUAAACGGUGGGUACUAGGUGUGGGUUCCUUCCUUGGGAUCCGUGCCGUAGCUAACGCAUUAAGUACCCCGCCUGGGGAGUACGGCCGCAAGGCUAAAACUCAAAGGAAUUGACGGGGGCCCGCACAAGCGGCGGAGCAUGUGGAUUAAUUCGAUGCAACGCGAAGAACCUUACCUGGGUUUGACAUGCACAGGACGCCGGCAGAGAUGUCGGUUCCCUUGUGGCCUGUGUGCAGGUGGUGCAUGGCUGUCGUCAGCUCGUGUCGUGAGAUGUUGGGUUAAGUCCCGCAACGAGCGCAACCCUUGUCCUAUGUUGCCAGCGGGUUAUGCCGGGGACUCGUAGGAGACUGCCGGGGUCAACUCGGAGGAAGGUGGGGAUGACGUCAAGUCAUCAUGCCCCUUAUGUCCAGGGCUUCACACAUGCUACAAUGGCCGGUACAAAGGGCUGCGAUGCCGUGAGGUGGAGCGAAUCCUUUCAAAGCCGGUCUCAGUCCGGAUCGGGGUCUGCAACUCGACCCCGUGAAGUCGGAGUCGCUAGUAAUCGCAGAUCAGCAACGCUGCGGUGAAUACGUUCCCGGGCCU
rnacentral:rRNA from 1 species